AUGCACGCUGGCGGCGUGCCUAAUACAUGCCAGUCGAGCGAACGGACGAGAAGCUUGCUUUUCUGAUGUUAGCGGCGGACGGGUGAGUAACACGUGGAUAACCUACCUAUAAGACUGGGAUAACUUCGGGAAACCGGAGCUAAUACCGGAUAAUAUUUUGAACCGCAUGGUUCAAAAGUGAAAGACGGUCUUGCUGUUACUUAUGGAUGGAUCCGCGCUGCAUUAGCUAGUUGGUAAGGUAACGGCUUACCAAGGCAACGAUGCAUAGCCGACCUGAGAGGGUGAUCGGCCACACUGGAACUGAGACACGGUCCAGACUCCUACGGGAGGCAGCAGUAGGGAAUCUUCCGCAAUGGGCGAAAGCCUGACGGAGCAACGCCGCGUGAGUGAUGAAGGUCUUCGGAUCGUAAAACUCUGUUAUUAGGGAAGAACAUAUGUGUAAGUAACUGUGCACAUCUUGACGGUACCUAAUCAGAAAGCCACGGCUAACUACGUG
rnacentral:rRNA from 1 species